GAUUUAAUAGUAUAGAUAAUAUUUUGAAUUGUAAAUUCAAAGACAAGUAAUUUUUUAAGUCA
rnacentral:tRNA from 1 species